CUAGCGUUGUCCGGAAUUACUGGGCGUAAAGAGCUCGUAGGUGGUUUGUCGCGUUGUUCGUGAAAACUCACAGCUUAACUGUGGGCGUGCGGGCGAUACGGGCAGACUGGAGUACUGCAGGGGAGACUGGAAUUCCUGGUGUAGCGGUGGAAUGCGCAGAUAUCAGGAGGAACACCGGUGGCGAAGGCGGGUCUCUGGGCAGUAACUGACGCUGAGGAGCGAAAGCGUGGGGAGCGAACAGG
rnacentral:rRNA from 1 species